UGUAGAAAAGCUUGAAACCCAUGAAAAAGUGUGCCAAAUCUGGAGUCCUGUAUUCAGGAUAAGAAAUAUUUUGAACAUUUGGAUUCGAACAAAAUAACCGACAUCUUUCAUUUUCAGAGCAGUUUUUAAAUUUAUCGAGAAAUAUGGAGUGAAUCUUUCAUCGAAAUCCAUUUGGGAAAAUAAGCAAGAAAUUGGAAAAUCUGAUAUAAUUAAGAAGAGUGAAACACCCAUUAAACAAGAUUAUGUGCUGUAGCCUCUACAUCUUUUAUGGUACUGUUGAAACACCCAUUAAACAAGAUUAUGUGCACCUUAUUUUCGGUUACUCCUAGAAUGUUCUGCUACUUGUCAUUUUGUCUGGCCAAUCCAGUGCAUUUCAGACCUGGAAUCUAACGACGAUUGGGCGAGCAAGUCGUGAUGCCUUUUGUUGUACUUUUCGUAACCUUCAGCGCAGACACAUAGUUAGCGAUAAACAGAUGGACACAAGGACUUCCACGAUGGUCCCGAAGUAGCAAAUGGAGAGAGCGAGAGGGAGAGACCAGAGAUAGAGAGAGAGAGAGAGAUGGUGGAGAGUUCGGGUUGUAGGGAGUACGUGGGAGGCUUGGUCGUCGGAAUCUCCACUGUCAUCACCGGCCACCCCUUCGACACUGUCAAGGUGAAGCUGCAAAAGCACAACACCGAAGCUCAUGGGAUCACUUACAGGAAUAGCUUAGAUUGUACAGCCAGAAUACUUAAGAUCGAAGGAAGUUACUGCUGGAAACACUUCUGAAUACCCCCCGCGGGGCCCCUUUCUUUUCUCUUUAGUCCCGUCUGCAAGAUUGGUGACGUUCACCUAUUCUCACUGGAACCUUCCAUGCACCUUCUAAAGUUCAAUCGUCCUUUUGGUCUAAAUACACGGGCUUAACCUCAUAAGAAUUAAGGUGCAUGCUUCAAAGCUUUGUGAUGGCCUAGGGAAGUUUGCGGAAUGUCAUGUCUUGCAUUAUGGAGGCAAAAGUGGAAGCUAAGCUAUGAUUGUCAGUUCAACAUUGAGGCUAGUGAGGUGUACAGAGUAGUGACCCACAACUCCAAGUAGUAAAUUCUUUCUGCGGCUUACAGUGGAGCUCUAAUCAGUUUUGUGGUGUCCAUCGGAGCUGGUGAAAGUAAAGGGUAACGGAGCGUUUUCCAGAUUUGCUCUAUUGUUACUGAUGCUACACGUGACACUCAGUUCUUCAGUGCAGGAUGCAAAUUCAUGUCACGGACUCUGCGGUUUCUAUAAGUCUAAAGAGAUAAGUGUCUUGAGGAAUAAUCUCAUAUUGUCUGUAAAUAAGGUUUAAGUAUAUUUAUAAAUAAUGAACAACUCUCUCUUAUUAAACCGGUUUAAUGAGAUGAAUUAAGUUCACAAAAUUUUUCAUAAUAUUAGAGCCUGCUACAAGAUGAAUAGGAUCUACACUACUAAUUAUCCCGUGACAAGGACAAAAAUAAAUAAAUUACUAGCCUGCUGAAGGAGGAUGUUAAGGAAUAAAUCACACAUUGUCUAUGUAGACGGUCUUGGACAUAUUUAUAAGAUUGAAAUAAAUAUUUCUUUUUGAACCGAUUUAAUAAGAAGAGUUAGGUCCAUAUAUUUCUUCAAAGCUCCUUAAUUGUGCCAUCAAAAAACAUAAAAACUGUGGGGAGAAAAUCCUCUGCAUUUGACAACACUACAAGCCAUGCAGCAUUGUGGAAAGAUUCUAAUUGCGAACUUAUUUAUCGAGACACGCUAGAUACAUUGUUGAUAUGAAGCCUGCCACAUUAUACCUAGCAUAAGAAAGCAUUUAUAAUUUGACUUCUCUUUUUAUAGCUAAAAUAGAUCUACAGAAGUUGUAGACAGCAGAACUUAUUGAAAUUUACGUAAUUUCUUUCUGAUUACUGGCAUCUUUCGUGGAGGUAUUCCGACAUUGCUAGGAGAAUCUUUCGGGAAUGCGGUCUUUUUUAUCGUUUAUGAGUAUGUCCGUUAUUACAUGCAUUCACGACUAAAAGUAUGACGUGGGAUUGGGAUUAUGAGCGGUGGCCUUGGUGGCGUAGCUGUAAAGCCUCCUUGACCAUUUCCCCAUAUAUUUCAGUCUCUGUUCCACAACCAUUCAUAUUGUGAAAUUUCCCCCCACCCUUCUUCCAGUUUUGGUGUGCUGUUUUACCUUUGGAUGGGGCAAAAACUAUAAUUGAGAUUGACCCAGAUAAAAGCACUUCAAGGAAUCCUUUCCAUAUUUUGAGCUUCGUAAUCCAUCUUCCAUUUCAUGAUAGCCAUCAACGACAGCCUUCUUCUCUUUUUUCUAUUUACAAAAAGGAAGAAAAGAGAACAAAAGCAGCCUUUCUUUUUGGGCAUGGAGCCUAGAGGAGAGAAGUUGAAUGGGUCUUCUGUUUUGGAUUUACAGGAGGGCUGGACUUAAAAGGAUGCUACGCAGGUCUGGGUCCUACCAUGGUUCGGGCAUUUCCUGCCAAUGCAGCUGGAAUCGUCACCUGGGAACUAGAAAUAAAAGUUUAGGACAGGUUUGGCAAGUAAGAUAAGAAUUUUAAGUUGAGAUGAAAGUUUAAAAUAUUAUUUUUGAGUAUUAUUAUUGUUUUGAAAUUUGAAAAAGUUGAAUUAGAAUUCGAAGAAGUUAAAUUAUUUAUUAUAUUUUGUAUAAGAAUUUGAAAAAAUUGUAAUGAUAAGAUGAGACUUUUGAGUUGAGAUAUAUCUUCUAAACCUGCCCGUAGGCAUCAAGCAUGAUUGAGCAUGCAUGGUCUUUCCAAUUAUGAAAUUUUCCAAUUUUCUCUUGCCAUUUCCUAUGGCGUCUCAAUUAGAAAAUUACUGACAAUAUUGCCAGAUCCUGGUGUUGGGGUUUGCUCCUUUUGUCUUGCAUGAGUUAGGAGUGAAGGAAGAGCAAUGCCCCCAAGGCUUAUAAAAGCAGACUAAUCCUCAUUGGUAAAGUGCACCAAUCAAAAGUUUAGUUAAAAACUUUUGACUAUAGUAAACUCUCUCUAUUGACCUUUUUUGUAAAAAGGGAAAAUGUGAGUUAAAGUUUUGAUAGUUAAGAAGCUUUUGUGGUUGUCAAGGGAUGAGAAGAGAAAUUGUGUGAUUGUAACAAUUUUCACAUAGUGGAUUUUCUUCUCUGGGUCUAGUGAUUUUUCUUCGGUUUUGGAGUUUUCACGUAAAAUCUUAUAUUAUUAUUAUUUCUCUAUUUUUCUUGUUAUUUCUGCAAAUAGUAAAUCUUAGGGAGGUGAAUUUUAGAGGUCCAAAUUUUCAAGAAGUGGUAUAAGAGCUAGUUUCUUUUGAUAGGGGUGGAGUUUUGGUGUGGUAAGGUGGAUACGUACCAUUUAAGGAGGUUUUGUCUAAUAGAUUAAAAAUUUUAAGCGUGUCUAUUGUGACCCUCCAAUCUUUCCUUGGAACUUACUUAGUGAGGUACUAUUCAUUUUUACGGUAAAAAUUCAUUGAGGCAAUGUCGGGAUGUUUUGGAGAGUUGGAUUACACAAGGUGUUGAAUGGCAGAUCAACCCCUGAAGUCAUCAGUGAUACUUGCGACUGGUGAAACGGCUAGUAGUAGGAGCAGGUUCAGCAAGUGGCUCCAAGUCAGUAAAUAGAAAUACUAGUAUUGAUGCUAAUGUUGUCUCUCUCUAUGAAAAAUGGACAUGUAUAUCCUUAUGACAUGUUGCUAAUUUUCAAAGUUGUCAUGAUAGAGGAUGUGUUAAUAUUAGCGGAUCCGUAAGUUUGCACAUAGGUAUUGGUUUGGCAUUGAUGCAAAGUGUAUUGGAAAUUCAUAUCGAUGGUUGAUGAACUUUCAGGAAAGCUAAACGUGAAAGUUACACCAUAAUUUUCAACAAUGUUAUUUUCGACAUGGGCCAAAGUAAAAUGUUUGGAAUUGUUUUAUUCUGAGUGAAUAUGUUUUUAUGGUGGAGUAUGAUAGCGGAAGUUAUAGAUUUUCAUUGAGGUAGAGUUUGGUUGUGGAACCAAUCAAAGUCGCAAAAUAGAGAUUGUUAGGAUUUGUUCAUUUUGUCCCACAUUGUGAGUGAAGGAAGAGCAAGGGCCCAAGACCUAUAAAUGAGGCUAAUUUUUCUUGGUAAAGUGUACUUGUUAGAAGUUUAGCUAAAAGGAGAAGAGGUAAGAGUUAAAAUUUUGAUAAUGGGGAAGCUUUUGUGAGUGUAAAAGGGUGAUGAGAGAAAUUGUGUGAUUGUAACAAUUUUUUACAUAGUAGAUUUUCUUAUCUAGGUCUGGUGGGUUUUUCCCGAUUUAAGAGUUUACAUGUAAAAUCUUAUAUUAUUAUUAUUUAUCUAUUUUUUUGUUAUUCCUGCAAAUGGUAGAUUCUGCAGGGGUGAAUUUAAGAGGUCCAAAUUUCCAACACCUGGGACUACUGGUUGGCGAGCUACAUGGGUUUACUUCUGCUUUUAAAUUGGAGGGUGUGUACAUGUUUGGGUCCAAUGAUUUUUUUUUUUUUUUUUUUGGCUGGGUAUCGGUAUCACAAAGCAACAAACAAGGAAUGGUCAUUUUAGACAAAAUAUGAGAAAGGCAACUCUUCUCGUGCUAAUAUAUUAUAACAGCAUAAAUGCAUGUUUGCGUGCCAUAGUGUUUGACGUA